GUGAGUAUAGUUUAACAAAAAUUUCAGAUUGUGGUUCUAAAGACAGGGGUUAAAAUCCCCUUACUUACC
rnacentral:tRNA from 1 species